rnacentral:lncRNA from 1 species
UUUAUUUUCACACAAACAGAAAAUGUAUGAAAUGUCACAAAUAAACACCAUCUGGUAUGUCGUAAAUGUCUCAUUCUCCAGUGCGACACUCAGAAGAAAGUUUAAGCUCAAUGAGUACAUCUUUUUAUAGAUCUGAAAUACGAAGUGCAUAGUCUCCUACCUUACAGAGACAACCGAAAAAUUGUCAAGCUCGAAACUUU